rnacentral:rRNA from 1 species
GAUGAACGCUGGCGGCGUGCCUAAUACAUGCAAGUAGAACGCUGAAGCUUGGUGCUUGCACCGAGCGGAGGAGUUGCGAACGGGUGAGUAACGCGUAGGUAACCUGCCUCUUAGCGGGGGAUAACUAUUGGAAACGAUAGCUAAUACCGCAUAAAAGUCGACAUUGCAUGAUGUUGACUUGAAAGGUGCAAAUGCAUCACUAAGAGAUGGACCUGCGUUGUAUUAGCUAGUUGGUGAGGUAACGGCUCACCAAGGCGACGAUACAUAGCCGACCUGAGAGGGUGAUCGGCCACACUGGGACUGAGACACGGCCCAGACUCCUACGGGAGGCAGCAGUAGGGAAUCUUCGGCAAUGGACGGAAGUCUGACCGAGCAACGCCGCGUGAGUGAAGAAGGUUUUCGGAUCGUAAAGCUCUGUUGUAAGAGAAGAACGAGUGUGAGAGUGGAAAGUUCACACUGUGACGGUAACUUACCAGAAAGGGACGGCUAACUACGUGCCAGCAGCCGCGGUAAUACGUAGGUCCCGAGCGUUAUCCGGAUUUAUUGGGCGUAAAGCGAGCGCAGGCGGUUAGAUAAGUCUGAAGUUAAAGGCUGUGGCUUAACCAUAGUACGCUUUGGAAACUGUUUAACUUGAGUGCAGAAGGGGAGAGUGGAAUUCCAUGUGUAGCGGUGAAAUGCGUAGAUAUAUGGAGGAACACCGGUGGCGAAAGCGGCUCUCUGGUCUGUAACUGACGCUGAGGCUCGAAAGCGUGGGGAGCAAACAGG